rnacentral:rRNA from 1 species
ACUUUAAUUGAAGAGUUUGAUCAUGGCUCAGAUUGAACGCUGGCGGCAGGCCUAACACAUGCAAGUCGAGCGGUAACAGAAAGAAAGCUUGCUUUCUUUGCUGACGAGCGGCGGACGGGU